rnacentral:snRNA from 1 species
GGACAUGAUCGAGAUCUGAUUGCAACAUGGGUCACUCCACUGAUUGUCAGGGUUGAUUGAUCUCUCUGGCUAGGCAGGCGCCCCCCUCCUUCCUCACAACUCCAUGUUCUUCACAACCUUCCCUGAAUGCGGGAGGGUCAGUCUUCAGUCAAGGGGAGCUAUGCUUCCCUGCUAUAACCUCCAAACACGCUAUCAAACAGGUCUUUCAGAUGGGAAUCCUCAGCUUGAGGGUCUUCUGUGGAUGCUGAAGUGACAAGCGUGAGCCGGCACAC